rfam:Niastella vici strain DJ57 contig91, whole genome shotgun sequence.
UCCUCCGCGAGGAGGAAUCUGAAGGAAGCCAGCGGUAAAUCUCUGGCCUGACGAACAGGAAGCAGAUGAGGCAAUUAUCUAUGGGCGAGUUUGCCAAACAAAACAAAGCCCAAAACUAUCCGAAACAGAUAACUGUAUAUCUGACAGGUACAUGGAGAGAAAGUUUGCGCA